rnacentral:rRNA from 1 species
AGGAUGAACGCUGGCGGUCUGCUUAACACAUGCAAGUCGAACGGAGUACCUCGGUACUUAGUGGCGGACGGGUGAGUAACGCGUGAGAAUCUGCCCUUAGGUCGGGGACAACCAUUGGAAACGAUGGCUAAUACCGGAUAAGCCGAGAGGUAAAAGAUUAAUUGCCUAGGGAAGAGCUCGCGUCUGAUUAGCUAGUUGGUGAGGUAAAGGCUCACCAAGGCAUCGAUCAGUAGCUGGUCUGAGAGGAUGAUCAGCCACACUGGGACUGAGACACGGCCCAGACUCCUACGGGAGGCAGCAGUGGGAAUUUUCCGCAAUGGGCGAAAGCCUGACGGAGCAAGACCGCGUGAGGGAGGAAGGCUACUUGGGUUGUAAACCUCUUUUCUUGGGGAAGAACAAAAUGACGGUACCCAAGGAAUCAGCAUCGGCUAACUCCGUGCCAGCAGCCGC